AAGACCUUUGCGCUUUUGGAGCGGCCGAUGCCUGAUUAGCUUGUUGGUGAGGUAAAAGCUCACCAAGGCUUCGAUCAGUAGCUGGUCUGAGAGGACGACCAGCCACACUGGGACUGAGACACGGCCCAGACUCCUACGGGAGGCAGCAGUGGGGAAUUUUGGACAAUGGGGGCAACCCUGAUCCAGCCAUGCCGCGUGAGUGAAGAAGGCCUUCGGGCUGUAAAGCUCUUUCAGCCGGAACGAAACGGUUACGGUUAAUACCCGUGAUUACUGACGGUACCGGAAGAAGAAGCACCGGCUAACUACGUGCCAGCAGCCGCGGUAAUACGUAGGGUGCGAGCGUUAAUCGGAAUUACUGGGCGUAAAGCGUGCGCAGGUGGUUUUGUAAGUCAGAUGUGAAAGCCCCGGGCUCAACCUGGGAACU
rnacentral:rRNA from 1 species